GUUCAAACCCUGGUAUGUCUGCUGCCAAUGCCUGUGCCUUUUCUGUCUUACCGUGCUUCUGGCAUGGUCCCUGAAAUGCUGUAACAGAAAGGAAACAGGUGGUAAUGGCAAGGAGGAUGCAGGACCAGGUUCUUCCAGCCACAUCAGCUGCUUGGACAGGUGAACUGAGGGGUCCCAGUCUGACAAGCAGGAGUGAUUUUGCUCUCAGCUUCAGUGCUAUCAUGAAGAUGAUGCAGGAUCUCAUGAUGUGGGCAUCUGGCACAGCAGGUCAUUGGUCCAUAUUGCAAAAGCAACAGGAGACCCAGCAGGACUAGCUGGGAGGAGACAUCCUCAGGGAGACCAGCUGAGGAGGAACAUCCAGCAGCCCCUGUCCAGCUCUGCUCCAAGUCCGCUGCAUCCAGGUCUACCAUGAUCAUCUGGUGCCAACUUCCUCAGCUCCCUGGGGGAGGAGUCAGAAAAGUAAGGACGGCACCCUGGAGACCAGAUGAAGAUGGGAACAGUUCUACUUGAAGGAACCGCGAAAGGAUCAAGAUGGCCGAAAGGAUCAAGAUGGCCUGUCCCUGUGCCUGGGAUCCAGGCUGGAGAUCAGAGGCUUCGGGGGCCUGCAGGAGAAACGGAGGAGUUCUAUGGACACAGCUGGACUUUACUUUCCUCGUCUGUGCUUUGAUGCUCAAGAGAGGCUUUGGGUUCCAUUGUCACUGCCGUAUUCACACUGUCCUGUUCUGUCCGCCUCCCCAGCAUCUGAGCGUGUCCCCACACAGUGGUACACAGUAAGACCAUGUAUCUAUAGACCCUGGUCCCAGGGUUCAGUUCCCAGCACCCACAUGGCAGUUCACAACUGUCUGUAACUCUAGUCUCAGGGGGAUCCUAUUCCCUCUUCUGACUUCUGUGGGUACUGCAUACACAUGGUGUGCAACAUUCAGGAAACACUCACAUACAUAAAAUAAAAAUAAAUAAAAUCUCAAAAUAUCUAGAAAAGAAGCAACGGAAUCCAUAGAAACAGAUAAAUACAUCUGAAUCUUAUUUAGUACCCUAAGGUACUAAAUCCACGUGUUUUACUGACUCAGAGAUCUGCAUGUAUUUCAUGCAAAGGGGACCAGGUUGGAGUUUUAUGGGAGACUAUCUGACCAGAGGAUGCUGAGUUUAUUAGGAGGGCUUCUACAGUGCCUCAGAAAUAUGCACAUACUCUACAAGCCAAGGAAAUGAACUCCCCUGGAGCUGGGAUGCCUGGACAUUUCACUGUGUCCCAUCCUUGGAAACAAAUGAUGUGCCUUCCAGCUUCCUCUUGGGGACCAUGGUUUUCAAUGCAGAAUGUAGGACAUGGUAGGUCAUGCUUUUUUGUGAUUUUUUUUUUUUUUUAGUCCAGUGAUUUCUGGCUUGGCUUAGUCUCUUUAAGACCUCAUGUGAAAGAAAUGAUGGGAGAUGUUUUAUUCUCAUAAUCCUUUCUAAGGGGUGAGACAAACCCCAGAAACUGUGUGUGUGUGUGUGUGUGUGUGUGUGUGUGUGUGUGUGUGUGUGUGUAUUCCCAAUAUAUUAGAAAUAGUCAUAGUUCAUGCUAACAUGGACCAGGAAAAUCUCAUGAGGCCUCAACCAUACACAAGGAAUUACAGGCAGCUAAGGAAUUCUGUGAGUCAGAGAAAUAGUCUUCCCUAGUGAUAAGCAAACCAAAUGAUAUCCAAUGUCAAAUAGUCAGCCAUGAAAAUGUAUAUACACAAGUAAUAUUGUGCAGACUGAGGAUGUUGCAUUUAUGUAUUUAGGAAAUACACACAUAUAAGUAUAUAACAACAAUUAAAGAGGCCAUCAAUUUGGAAAGAAUGGGGGAAGAGCAUAAAUGGGAGGUUUUGUAGGAAGGAAAAAGAAGGGGGAAAUGAUAUAAUUAUAUUAUAAUCUCUAAAAACAAAAUAUUAAAAAAUAUACA